CCUACGGGAGGCAGCAGUGAGGAAUAUUGGUCAAUGGGCGGAAGCCUGAACCAGCCAAGUAGCGUGCAGGAUGACGGCCCUACGGGUUGUAAACUGCUUUUAUACGGGAAUAACGCGCCUUACGUGUAGGGCUUUGCAGGUACCGUAUGAAUAAGGACCGGCUAAUUCCGUGCCAGCAGCCGCGGUAAUACGGAAGGUCCGGGCGUUAUCCGGAUUUAUUGGGUUUAAAGGGGGCGUAGGCCGCAUGUCAAGCGUGCUGGGAAAUUUCCGGGCUCAACCCGGGCCUUGCAGCGCGAACUGGCGUGCUUGAGUCCGCGGAAGGCAGGCGGAAUUCGUCGUGUAGCGGUGAAAUGCGUAGAUAUGACGAAGAACCCCGAUUGCGAAGGCAGCCUGCUGCAGCGGAACUGACGCUGAUGCUCGAAAGCGCGGGUAUCGAACAGGAUUAGAUACCCGUGUAGUC
rnacentral:rRNA from 1 species